rnacentral:rRNA from 1 species
AUUGAACGCUGGCGGCAGGCCUAACACAUGCAAGUCGAACGGUAACAGGAAGCAGCUUGCUGCUUCGCUGACGAGUGGCGGACGGGUGAGUAAUGUCUGGGAAACUGCCUGAUGGAGGGGGAUAACUACUGGAAACGGUAGCUAAUACCGCAUAACGUCGCAAGACCAAAGAGGGGGACCUUAGGGCCUCUUGCCAUCGGAUGUGCCCAGAUGGGAUUAGCUAGUAGGUGGGGUAACGGCUCACCUAGGCGACGAUCCCUAGCUGGUCUGAGAGGAUGACCAGCCACACUGGAACUGAGACACGGUCCAGACUCCUACGGGAGGCAGCAGUGGGGAAUAUUGCACAAUGGGCGCAAGCCUGAUGCAGCCAUGCCGCGUGUAUGAAGAAGGCAUUCGGGUUGUAAAGUACUUUCAGCGGGGAGGAAGGGAGUAAAGUUAAUACCUUUGCUCAUUGACGUUACCCGCAGAAGAAGCACCGGCUAACUCCGUG